GGCCGUAAUACAACAUGGAGGAAGGAGCAGUACCUUCAAUCGAGGAACUCAAAAAGCUAAAAGUUGUGGAGCUUAAGGCGCGACUGUCUUCUCUUGGGCUCCACACAUCAGGGCUGAAAGCUGACCUGAUAGAGAGACUUCAUAGUUAUUUCUUGUCGGAAACACAACAGGGUAUUACAGAGGGAGAUGUCCCAGUUCAAG